rnacentral:rRNA from 1 species
ACCCUUUAAUGUUUGAUGUUCUAACGUGGACCCGUGAUCCGGGUUGCGGACAGUGUCUGGUGGGUAGUUUGACUGGGGCGGUCUCCUCCUAAAGAGUAACGGAGGAGCACGAAGGUUGGCUAAUCCUGGUCGGACAUCAGGAGGUUAGUGCAAUGGCAUAAGCCAGCUUGACUGCGAGCGUGACGGCGCGAGCAGGUGCGAAAGCAGGUCAUAGUGAUCCGGUGGUUCUGAAUGGAAGGGCCAUCGCUCAACGGAUAAAAGGUACUCCGGGGAUAACAGGCUGAUACCGCCCAAGAGUUCAUAUCGACGGCGGUGUUUGGCACCUCGAUGUCGGCUCAUCACAUCCUGGGGCUGAAGUAGGUCCCAAGGGUAUGGCUGUUCGCCAUUUAAAGUGGUACGCGAGCUGGGUUUAGAACGUCGUGAGACAGUUCGGUCCCUAUCUGCCGUGGGCGCUGGAGAACUGAGGGGGGCUGCUCCUAGUACGAGAGGACCGGAGUGGACGCAUCACUGGUGUUCGGGUUGUCAUGCCAAUGGCACUGCCCGGUAGCUAAAUGCGGAAGAGAUAAGUGCUGAAAGCAUCUAAGCACGAAACUUGCCCCGAGAUGAGUUCUCCCUGA